rnacentral:rRNA from 1 species
UACGUAGGAGGCAAGCGUUGUCCGGAAUUACUGGGCGUAAAGCGCGUGUAGGUGGUGGGACAAGUCUGCUGUGAAAGCGCCUGGCUUAACCGGGCGAGGUCGGCGGAAACUGUCCGACUCGAGGACGGUAGAGGGGGGUGGAAUUCCCGGUGUAGUGGUGAAAUGCGUAGAGAUCGGGAGGAACACCUGUGGCGAAGGCGGGUUGCUGGGCUGACACUGACGCUGAACUGCGAAAGCUAGGGGAGCGAACGGG